rnacentral:rRNA from 1 species
GAAGUGUGGACGCCAGUCUGCAUGGAGCCGACCUUGAAAUACCACCCUUUAAUGUUUGAUGUUCUAACGUUGACCCGUAAUCCGGGUUGCGGACAGUGUCUGGUGGGUAGUUUGACUGGGGCGGUCUCCUCCUAAAGAGUAACGGAGGAGCACGAAGGUUGGCUAAUCCUGGUCGGACAUCAGGAGGUUAGUGCAAUGGCAUAAGCCAGCUUGACUGCGAGCGUGACGGCGCGAGCAGGUGCGAAAGCAGGUCAUAGUGAUCCGGUGGUUCUGAAUGGAAGGGCCAUCGCUCAACGGAUAAAAGGUACUCCGGGGAUAACAGGCUGAUACCGCCCAAGAGUUCAUAUCGACGGCGGUGUUUGGCACCUCGAUGUCGGCUCAUCACAUCCUGGGGCUGAAGUAGGUCCCAAGGGUAUGGCUGUUCGCCAUUUAAAGUGGUACGCGAGCUGGGUUUAGAACGUCGUGAGACAGUUCGGUCCCUAUCUGCCGUGGGCGCUGGAGAACUGAGGGGGGCUGCUCCUAGUACGAGAGGACCGGAGUGGACGCAUCACUGGUGUUCGGGUUGUCAUGCCAAUGGCACUGCCCGGUAGCUAAAUGCGGAAGAGAUAAGUGCUGAAAGCAUCUAAGC